AAAUAGCUACAGAAAUAGUGGAGAAAUGGAGAGACUAAAAUUUUGCAAGAUUUGAAUUCUGGGCAGCGUGCCAAGUACCAGGCAAAUGAGGAUUCCAGUGCCUACGGAAAUACUAACUUUAUUAUGGAAUAGAAAAGGAAGGAAAAGCCAUGGUUGCAUUUCACUUACAAACAUUAGUGCAACCGACUGUGGUCAAAACCAAUCUGGCAAAGUUGAACUGCACAGAUCCAGCAUUGCCCCUCCAGCCUUCCAAAAGGAGACUCCAGCUUCAAAGAGUCACAAGGCUGACAUCAAAGGAGCAAACUUAAAGCAGUGUUCUCCUCAGGGUCCUGACACGGCAGGUGACAGGGCCAACAGCACUCCUGCAGGAAAACCUGGGAGGGGAGAAUUCCAGGGGAACUUUUCACCACAGGGCUUGAAGGUAAUGAUUACAAAGUUAAGGCAAGGCAAAGUCUCUUGUUCUUGUGGAGUUACUGGUUUCAGAGGAGUUUUUUUACUUAAGUACUCAAGGUGUGCAGAGCUCUUUCCCUUCUCCACAGCCACUGCCUAGAGCUGUACUUGCAUCAAUCUGUUUAUUUGUAACAAAUCAGUUUUAAAUCUGUUUUAAAAGCAGCCUUGACGUGCAACUUGGUAAUAUGGCCUAAGUACUAACAGCCUGUGUAUUUGAUUAUAAACAUUAUAACUUGCUCAAAAUAGACUUACAUGGGUUUGGUUGCACUCCCUGUGAACUGGGAACCUAAGACACACUUAUGGAUAGGAAAGAAAAGAGCAGAGCUCCUCUCCAGAGUUUACCAUUAGCAGUGUGCUGUUCUCCUAAUUUUUGAGGAGGAGUUCUGGGUAAGCUUACCUGGUGUCUUUAA